AAGAAUGUAUCUCAGUGGUUAGAGAAUCUGCUUUACAUGCAGAAAGUCCCAGGUGCAAACUCUGGCAUCUUCA